rnacentral:rRNA from 1 species
GCGGCGUGCCUAAGAAAUGCAAGUCGAGCGAGGAUUCACGCUGACCGAAGCUUCGGCAGAGGUCUUGUGAAGCCUAGCGGCGAACGGUCGCGUAACACGUAAGCAACCUGCCCUGAAGUGUGGGAUAGCCCUCCGAAAGGAGGAUUAAUACCGCAUGUGGAUACGAUGUCGCAUGGCAACGUAUCUAAAGCAGCAAUGCGCUUCAGGAUGGGCUUGCGGCCUAUCAGCUAGUUGGUGGGGUAACGGCCUACCAAGGCGACGACGGGUAGCUGGUCUGAGAGGAUGGUCAGCCGGAUUGGGACUGAGACACGGCCCAGACUCCUACGGGAGGCAGCAGUGGGGAAUUUUGGACAAUGGGCGCAAGCCUGAUCCAGCCAUUCCGCGUGCAGGAUGAAGGCCUUCGGGUUGUAAACUGCUUUUGUACGGAACGAAAAGGCUCUGGUUAAUACCUGGAGUUUAUGACGGUACCGUAAGAAUAAGCACCGGCUAACUACGUG